rnacentral:misc_RNA from 1 species
GCAAAUAUUUACCUUUAUAUGGUAAAUUCAUUUGAAUAUAUCUGUGGAAAGUCCCUUAUGCACCAGACUAAUCACUUAAAAUUUUAGAAAUUAUAAAUUCUUAUAUUCUGUUGAAUUUUGGGUUCAUACACAUGAAUUGAUACAUGAAGUAAAUUUUUUUUUUUGAAUAAUUCAAUAUGGAAGAGAUAUUUACUCUGUUUUAUCAACAUCAAUUUGAGUGUUCCCUGGUUAUGAUUAGGUGCUUUAUAAUUCAUUGAUAUGAGCAUUACAAAAUGCAUGAUCUUUAGUGCACAAUGUUUUCCUUCAUGUUGGUUAGUAUUGGUAAGUUUUCCAUUAAGUCUCUCUUUAUAUACCGGUAUUUCUAACAGGUGACAGAUUCCAAGGGUCAUAUUCUCUAUCAGAAGGAUGAUGCCAAGAAAGGGAAGUUUGCCUUCACAACUGAGGAGUAUGACAUGUUUGAAGUCUGCUUCAACAACAGAAUGCCAGGGGGUGGCCAAAGUCCAGACAGAGAAGUGUCUUUAGAUAUGAAACAUGGAGUAGAAGCCAAGAGUUAUGACGAGUUGGCUAAAGCAGAGAAGCUCAAACCAUUAGAAGUGGAAUUAAGAAGAUUGGAAGAUCUAUCCAAAUCAAUUGUAGAUGAUUUUGAGUAUAUGAAAUCUAGGGAAAAGAUGAUGAGAGAUACCAAUGGUGAAUAUUUUUAUCAAAACAAGAAUAGUUCAAUAAAUGAAACCCAUUUUGUAUAAUCAAUGUGAAAUGAAAUAAAAUAUAGAAAAAUUUUAUGUUUAUGAUACUACUGAUUUGGAGAAGAAAAGCAAAUAUCAAGUGUGGAGAUAAGAAUCUGUAACACACAACCAGAGUCUAGCAUUAGAAAUUCAGUUUAAGCAAUUUAUCACAUUUGUCAGUCACUAUGCUUCGAAACUUUUUGAAAAAAAAAUGUUUUGCUAAAAUGAAAAAUAGUGCCUGCACCUUUGUGGCAAGACAGCUCAUAAUUUAUUUAAAAAAUGUGAAGCAUAUGUAUCAACCUUGUUGUCUUGUUUUCAGAGUCCACCCAUUCCCGAGUGAUGUACUUCAGUAUCUUCUCGAUGUGCUGCCUUCUGGGACUGGCUACCUGGCAGGUGCUCUACCUCAGGCGAUUCUUCAAGGCCAAGAAGCUCAUUGAAUGAACACGGCCAAUAUAGGACUAUUAGAAAAAUAUUUAUUAAAUUCCAAUUUGUUUCCAAACUUAAGAUCAUAUUGUGGAAUUGGUUUUGGUUUUUCAAAUGCAUUUUGGACGAUUUCAAACUUGUUUGUUUUGGGGUUUAUUUUUGUAACAUAAAAAUAUCAAGCUAAAUGAAUAUGUCAAUUGUGAUCUCAUUUCAGUACCAGUUUUUAAAAAUUCUGAUUUAUUUCAUACUAACAAUGGAGUUAAAGAGACAUUUAAGUUCUUUGUACAUGUAUCACUGAUAUUUGAUGCAACAUUGUAAAGAUGGUGUUAUUUUUAUGUACAGUAUUUGUGAAUUUUUUUCAAUGUUGGCAAGUCCUAUGUUAAGUCCUAUGUUAACCAAAGGUGUUCCCAUUUGAAAUUUAGAAUUUUUAUAAUCUUGGAAUUUGAAUGCUGCAUGUCAAUCACAAAAAGUUCCAUGCCAGUACAAAUUCAUAACCAUAAUUCAUGUGUGUAUGAUGAUUGGGAAUUCUGUAUAUGCUUUUUAACUUUAAAGGGGUGGGUGUUGAACAUGAAUUGACUUAAUAGUGCUUCAUGAUAAAUGUGCAACAUCAUUAGCAACAAAAAUUCCCAAAUGUCAUGCAACAGUUAUUCUCUUACAGUGUUACUGAAUUGCGUUACUAGAUAAAUGUUCAGAUUUAAUCAAUAGAAUGGGAAAUUUCAUCAAAAGAAAAAGAGAGGAGAUCAUGUCACUUAAAAACACAUGUACAUGUAUUCAUGAACAAUUGUACAAAUCUUCUACUGUGGAUGUUUUAUGUGAAAGGAUGCGUUCUUUGUUAUAUAUGUAGCAGUAUGGGAGUUGGGUGCUUCUUAUAUAAAUUGAAUUUGGUUGUUACGGUAUAAUUUAUCCCUUUUCUUUAUUAUAACUCCAGCUUUAGUUUAAGGAGAGUAAUGAUUUGAAAUACACACACUCUCAAUUAUGUUCACUCUGUAGCGUUGACAUUCCCCAAUUUUUCACUUGUGUAUAUUUCACCUGUAAUGCUGUGUAAUAUCCCAGUGUUCGUUGCGUGCAAACCCAGUUCAAAUGCAGGGUUUAUACAUACCUAUUUUGUAAUAGUUUUGUUAUCUUUUAUUUGCUAACUUAAGAAUGGAUGAAAGUUGAAUGUAUUGUGGGGGGAAAUUGACUUUUCUUUGUAAUGUAUAAAAGAGAUGUCUGUCAAUGUUUAUCAUUGAAUGAUAAAGUUUUAUUG